rnacentral:rRNA from 1 species
AGUGAACGCUGGCGGUAGGCCUAACACAUGCAAGUCGAACGGCAGCACAGUAAGAGCUUGCUCUUACGGGUGGCGAGUGGCGGACGGGUGAGGAAUACAUCGGAAUCUACUUUUUCGUGGGGGAUAAGGUAGGGAAACUUACGCUAAUACCGCAUACGACCUACGGGUGAAAGCAGGGGAUCUUCGGACCUUGCGCGAUUGAAUGAGCCGGUGUCGGAUUAGCUAGUUGGCGGGGUAAAGGCCCACCAAGGCGACGAUCCGUAGCUGGUCUGAGAGGAUGAUCAGCCACACUGGAGCUGAGACACGGUCCAGACUCCUACGGGAGGCAGCAGUGGGGAAUAUUGGACAAUGGGCGCAAGCCUGAUCCAGCCAUACCGCGUGGGUGAAGAAGGCCUUCGGGUUGUAAAGCCCUUUUGUUGGGAAAGAAAAGCAGCAGGUUAAUACCCCGCUGUUCUGACGGUACCCAAAGAAUAAGCACCGGCUAACUUCGUG